rnacentral:rRNA from 1 species
UACAGAGGGGGCAAGCGUUGUUCGGAAUUACUGGGCGUAAAGGGCGCGUAGGCGGCCUUCUAAGUCGAACGUGAAAUCCCCGGGCUCAACCCGGGAACUGCGUCCGAUACUGGAAGGCUUGAAUCCGGGAGAGGGAUGCGGAAUUCCAGGUGUAGCGGUGAGAUGCGUAGAUAUCUGGAGGAACACCGGUGGCGAAGGCGGGUCUCUGGGCCGAUACUGACGCUGAGGAGCGAAAGCAUGGGUAGCGAACAGG